UUACGGCCAUAUAAUGUUGAAAUACCGGUUCUCGUAUGAUCACCGAAGUUAAGCAACGUCGAGCCUGGUCAGUACCAGUAUGGAUGGCCGUUUGGGAAUACCAGGUGCUGUAAG